rnacentral:rRNA from 1 species
UGGGGAAUUUUGGACAAUGGACGCAAGUCUGAUCCAGCCAUGCCGCGUGCGGGAAGAAGGCCUUCGGGUUGUAAACCGCUUUUGUCAGGGAAGAAACGAGUUUCACUAAUACAGAGACUUAAUGACGGUAACUGAAGAAUAAGCACCGACCAAUUACCUGCCAGCAGCCGCGGUAAUACGUAGGGUGCAAGCGUUAAUCGGAAUUACUGGGCGUAAAGCGUGCGCAGGUGGUUAUGCAAGACAGAGGUGAAAGCCCCGGGCUCAACCUAGGAACUGCCUUUAUGACUGCAUAGCUAGAGUACGGUAGAGGGGGAUGGAAUUCCGCGUGUAGCGGUGCAAUGCGUAGAUAUGCGGAGGAACACCGAUGGCGAAGGCAAUCCCCUGGACCUAUACUGACGCUCAUGCACGAAAGCGUGGGGAGCAAACA